GGAAAUUGACGGGGGCUCACACAAGCGGUGGAGCAUGUGGCUUAAUUCGAAGCAACGCGAAGAACCUUACCUGGGUUUGACAUGCAGGGAUUAGCCCGGUGAAAGUCGGGUGACGCCUUCGGGUGGAACCUGCACAGGUGCUGCAUGGCUGUCGUCAGCUCGUGCCGUGAGGUGUUAGGUUAAGUCCUUUAACGAGCGAAACCCCUGUCGUUAGUUGCCAGCGCGUUAUGGCGGGGAUUCUAACGAGACUGCCGGCGUCAAGUCGGAGGGAGGUGGGGAUGACGUCAAGUCCGCAUGGCCUUUAUGUCCAGGGAUGCACACGUGCUACAAUGGUCGGUACAGAACGAAGCAAUACCGCGAGGUGGAGCAAAUCGUGAAAGCCGGCCCCAGUUCAGAUUGCAGGCUGCGAUUCGCCUGCAUGAAGUCGGAAUCGCUAGUAAUCGCGGAUCAGCACGCCGCGGUGAAUACGUUCCUGAGCCUUGUACACACCGCCCGUCAAGUCAUGGAAGCUGGCAGCGCCCGAAGUCGCCGCGAUUCAGCGGUGCCCACGGCGAGGCUGGUGACUGGGACUAAGUCGUAACAAGG
rnacentral:rRNA from 1 species